CCUACGGGAGGCAGCAGUGAGGAAUAUUGGACAAUGGGCGCAAGCCUGAUCCAGCCAUGCCGCGUGCAGGAUGAAGCAUCUAUGGUGUGUAAACUGCUUUUGUACAGGAAGAAACCUCCCGACGUGUCGGGAAUUGACGGUACUGUAAGAAUAAGGAUCGGCUAACUCCGCGCCAGCAGCCGCGGUAAUACGGAGGAUCCAAGCGUUAUCCGGAAUCAUUGGGUUUAAAGGGUCCGUAGGCGGACCAGUAAGUCAGUGGUGAAAUCUCUCCGCUCAACGGGGAAAUGGCCAUUGAUACUGCUGGUCUUGAAUUAUUAGGAAGUAACUAGAAUAUGUAGUGUAGCGGUGAAAUGCUUAGAGAUUACAUGGAAUACCAAUUGCGAAGGCAGGUUACUACUAAUGGAUUGACGCUGAUGGACGAAAGCGUGGGUAGCGAACAGGAUUAGAUACCCUGGUAGUCCACGCCGUAAACGAUGGAUACUAGCUGUUGGGGGCAACUUCAGUGGNGUAGAGAAGUAGAUAAGUAUACCACCGUCGGAGGUACGUUCGCGAGAAGUAGAACGUACGAAGAAAGUUAGUACGGACGUAGAGACGUUAGCCGACGGACGACGACGAGGGAGGAGG
rnacentral:rRNA from 1 species